GGCGCUAUAGCCAAGUGGUUACGGCGACAGAUUAGAAUUCUCGGUAACACGAACUGUCAAUCUGUUCCUCUUUGAGGGCGCAGGUUCGAAUCCUGCUGGCGUCG